rnacentral:misc_RNA from 1 species
GAUGAAGAACGUAGCGAAAUGCGAUAAGUAGUGUGAAUGGCAGAAUUCAGUGAAUCAUCGAAUCUUUGAACGCACAUUGCGCCCCAUGGUAUUCCGUGGGGCAUGCCUGUUCGAGCGUCAUUUACCCCCUCAAGCUCCGCUUGGUGUUGGGCGUCUGUCCCGCUUCGCGCGCGGACUCGCCCCAAAGGUAUUGGCAGCGGUCGUGCCAGCUUCUCGCGCAGCACAUUGCGCUUCUCGAGGCACCGGUGGGCCCGCGUCCAUCAAGCUCACCCCCCCAGUUUGACCUCGGAUCAGGUAGGGAUACCCGCUGAACUUAAGCAUAUCAAUAAGCGGAGGA